UACGUAGGGUGUGAGCGUUAAUCGGAAUUACUGGGCGUAAAGCGUGCGCAGGCGGUUCGCUAAGUCCGCCGUCAAAUCCCAGGGCUCAACCCUGGACAGGCGGUGGAAACUACCAAGCUGGAGUACGGUAGGGGCAGAGGGAAUUUCCAGUGGAGCGGUGAAAUGCGUAGAUAUUGGAAAGACCACCAAUGGCGAAGGCACUCUACUGGGCCAUUACUGACACUGAGAGACGAAAGCUAGGGGAGCGAAUGGG
rnacentral:rRNA from 1 species